UACGGGGGGGGGCAAGCGUUGUUCGGAAUUACUGGGCGUAAAGGCUCGUAGGCGGCCAACUAAGUCAGACGUGAAAUCCCUCAGCUUAACUGGGGAACUGCAUCUGAUACUGGAUGGCUUGAGUUCGGGAGAGGGAUGCGGAAUUCCAGGUGUAGCGGUGAAAUGCGUAGAUAUCUGGAGGAACACCGGUGGCGAAGGCGACAUCCUGGACCAACACUGACGCUGAGGAGCGAAAGCCAGGGGAGCAAAGCGGG
rnacentral:rRNA from 1 species